rnacentral:rRNA from 1 species
CCUACGGGAGGCAGCAGUGAGGAAUAUUGGUCAAUGGUCGGGAGACUGAACCAGCCAAGCCGCGUGAGGGAGGACGGUACAGAGUGUUGUAAACCUCUUUUGUCAGGGAACAAAGCCCGGGACGCGUCCCGGGCUGCGUGUAUCCGAAGAAAAAGCAUCGGCUAACUCCGUGCCAGCAGCCGCGGUAAUACGGAGGAUGCGAGCGUUAUCCGGAUUUAUUGGGUUUAAAGGGUGCGUAGGCGGUCUGUUAAGUCAGUGGUAAAAGUGCGGGGCUCAACCCCGCCGAGCCGUUGAAACUGGCAGACUCGAGUUGGCGAGAAGUAUGUGGAAUGCGCGGUGUAGCGGUGAAAUGCAUAGAUAUCGCGCAGAACUCCGAUUGCGAAGGCAGCGUACCGGCGCCAGACUGACGCUGAGGCACGAAAGCGUGGGGAUCGAACAGGAUUAGAUACCCCAGUAGUC